GGGGGAUAACUAGUCGAAAGAUUAGCUAAUACCGCAUACGACCUGAGGGUGAAAGUGGGGGACCGCAAGGCCUCAUGCUAUAGGAGCGGCCGAUGUCUGAUUAGCUAGUUGGUGAGGUAAAGGCUCACCAAGGCGACGAUCAGUAGCUGGUCUGAGAGGACGAUCAGCCACACUGGGACUGAGACACGGCCCAGACUCCUACGGGAGGCAGCAGUGGGGAAUUUUGGACAAUGGGCGAAAGCCUGAUCCAGCAAUGCCGCGUGUGUGAAGAAGGCCUUCGGGUUGUAAAGCACUUUUGUCCGGAAAGAAAUGGCUCUGGUUAAUACCUGGGGUCGAUGACGGUACCGGAAGAAUAAGGACCGGCUAACUACGUGCCAGCAGCCGCGGUAAUACGUAGGGUCCAAGCGUUAAUCGGAAUUACUGGGCGUAAAGCGUGCGCAGGCGGUUGUGCAAGACCGAUGUGAAAUCCCCGAGCUUAACUUGGGAAUUGCAUUGGUGACUGCACGGCUAGAGUGUGUCAGAGGGGGGUAGAAUUCCACGUGUA
rnacentral:rRNA from 1 species